UACGAAGGGGGCUAGCGUUGCUCGGAAUUACUGGGCGUAAAGGGCGCGUAGGCGGGUAUUUAAGUCAGAGGUUAAAUCCCAGGGCUCAACCCUGGAACUGCCUUUGAUACUGGAUACCUAGAGUUCGGGAGAGGUGUGUGGAACUCCGAGUGUAGAGGUGAAAUUCGUAGAUAUUCGGAAGAACACCAGUGGCGAAGGCGGCUUACUGGUCCAUAACUGACGCUGAGGUG
rnacentral:rRNA from 1 species